rnacentral:rRNA from 1 species
GGCUCAGAUUGAACGCUGGCGGCAUGCCUUACACAUGCAAGUCGAACGGUAACAGGUCUUCGGAUGCUGACGAGUGGCGAACGGGUGAGUAAUACAUCGGAACGUGCCCGAUCGUGGGGGAUAACGGAGCGAAAGCUUUGCUAAUACCGCAUACGAUCUACGGAUGAAAGCAGGGACCGCAAGGCCUUGCGCGGACGGAGCGGCCGAUAUCAGAUUAGGUAGUUGGUGGGGUAAAGGCUCACCAAGCCGACGAUCUGUAGCUGGUCUGAGAGGACGACCAGCCACACUGGGACUGAGACACGGCCCAGACUCCUACGGGAGGCAGCAGUGGGGAAUUUUGGACAAUGGGCGCAAGCCUGAUCCAGCAAUGCCGCGUGCAGGAAGAAGGCCUUCGGGUUGUAAACUGCUUUUGUACGGAGCGAAAAGGCUCUCUCUAAUACAGGGGGGUUCAUGACGGUACCGUAAGAAUAAGCACCGGCUAACUACGUG